AUUGAACGCUGGCGGCAGGCCUAACACAUGCAAGUCGAACGAGCGGCGGACGGGUGAGUAAUGUCUGGGAAACUGCCUGAUGGAGGGGGAUAACUACUGGAAACGGUAGCUAAUACCGCAUACCAUCAGAUGUGCCCAGAUGGGAUUAGCUGGUAGGUGGGGUAACGUCUCACCUAGGCGACGAUCCCUAGCUGGUCUGAGAGGAUGACCAGCCCCACGGGAACUGAGCCACGGUCCAGACUCCUACGUGACGCAGCAGUGGGGAAUAUUGCACUAUGGGCGCAAGCCUGAUGCAGCCAUGCCGCGUGUAUGAAGAAGGCCUUCGGGUUGUAAAGUACUUUCAGCGGGGAGGCGUUACCCGCAGAAGAAGCACCGGCUAACUCCGUGCCAGCAGCCGCGGUAAUUC
rnacentral:rRNA from 1 species